GCAAGCCAUCACCUCACUCCACCACUCUGGGACCAAAAAUUGUAAGGUAAGCGACCGAACUCCUUUGAACCUGUUUCCUUGCGCUUGAAAGGCAGAAAAGGCUACUACUGGCCCGUGCUACCUUGUGAAAUUUUGAGGAGGCUCAGAAGAGUAUUUGGAAACACAUGGUUUAAGACUUCCUACCUAAACACAGAUCUCCAGAGACAGAGGAGUGGAAGAAGAGGCAAUAAAUCAUCCACAUUUGGGCAGGAUCAUCUUGCAAAUAACGACAUACCACUCAACCGAGAGGCUAAGUCUGUCAGUUGAGGCUGUGAAAUCCACCGCAGAAUGUCUUAAUUGAAAGAAAAAAAAUAAACACUUUCAGGAAACGAGCCCCGCGCUGACA
rnacentral:lncRNA from 1 species